AAACCUUGUACCAAUAAGUAAUCUUAUGUUUAUGAAUGUUUUUUUUUUUAAAUUGAUUACUAUGUUUUCCUUUAUAAUAUUUAGAAUGUUAUGUCGUUAUUUUCUAUAAUUUUUAAUAAAUAUACUAAAGAAGUAAAUUGUGAUUUUAAGAUAUGUGGAUCAGCUUGAAUAUUGAGGUGAUCCAAUAUUUUUAAAAGUUGUAUUUGUUCUAACUUCCACCAACAUUUUUCCUUGCCACACUAGCCCUGUACAAUAGAAUAACUUUUACUGGCAACAUUUAGUAAAUGUGAAUGUUGGAAAUUACUAGGAAAAGUCGACAAAUCUUUUUAAAAUAACACACUGGCCCAAUACGUAAUGGCUAGCAUUUCCUAGUGAAUGUUUCCACUGAAUUUCAGACUUUCACUGUAACAUAUGUACUAGUUGUUUACGAUAUUCUCCGAUGGUUUCAGUAAACCGCUUGUGUUGUCUGUGGCGCUGGUCGAGUCGGAACUGGGUCAAACGGGGCAUUCACAGGUUCAGUAGGAGCUGGAAAUGCCUCAGUUGCGGCUGUAACAUCAAACCGCAGCUGUGGGGUUUGAUGAGCAGAAAAUCUAAGAGAAGGCAUAUCUGAUUGGAUGACUUUGAAGAUGACAGAAUUGGGUGACUGUGAGGAGUCAGAAAUAAGAUCAAACAUUAUAGUGUCUAUUUU